rnacentral:snoRNA from 1 species
GUUAUGAUUGGAUGUUCACACUGUUCUGAGAUGUGCCUCUCUCUUGUUACAACCUCACCAUAUCACCCAUCUGAC